CAUAAAGAUUAGACAUUUACUUAUAAUCAACAGAUUUACUCCUAACAUAUUUCUUCAGCUCAGUAUACAGAGAGCUAUAGCUGUCGUUGUCGAUUUACACUUGUGCCCAGAGCAAAAACAAUUUUCGCCUUUAUAUGUGCAAAACGGCACAACUGGAAUUUCACAAUCUUUUUGUAUAUUUGCUUUAUAAAAUAACGGUUUCUAUAAGCAAACACUAGUUCAAUUUAAAGUGAAAAAAACAUUAAACUAUCUUAUUAAAUGUGAUUUAGUGCAGAAUCUCAAAACUGUUACGAUUCCCGAAUAUGGUCCAUAUUAAAACAUCUGUAUUGACGUCUUUUUUUAUUUACACAUCGAUUUUGGGUUACGUAUAUUUACAUCGUUCGAUUGUUUGUUGUAAGAUAUUCAUUUACCUGCAUAUUAACCAUUUUGUACUAAUUUUCUCACUGCCACGUUCCACUCGAACCCAAAACUUCUUAAAUUUUAAUAAAUAUAUCAUUAUUUCAUAAUCCAUUGUAUGACUCAGUCUGUUUCUGACGCCAACUGUGUUUCCACGAUAGAAAGGUGUACUUGGUUUUAAGUUCAAACAUUUUAUUGUGUCAAAAAUGUUAUUUUCACAUUUAUAAGUGAUUAGACAAUUUAGAAAGAAAAGAAUUAAAAAUAAAAGAAAAGUUCAGUGAAUCAACCACUUGCAAUUUAGAAGCCGGUCACACCAAGAGUUGCAGUAAUGACCGUACUGAAAUCAAACCACGCCAAAUUAGGUUGGUAUCAGCUGAGCAUAACGAAAGCCCAGGCAUCACCAUAUUACAAGCAGAAAAAGUUCAUAUUUUUACUCGUUUUGGUAUCAUUAGUUAGUCUGUUCAAUUUUUUGAAUCCAGAAAAAACAUCAACGACCGUAAGCAAUGUCUUUUUAUCGCGAGUAAAAGUGGCUCCUCCCAUUAAAUUUGGGCCAAAGCCAUAUUAUAUGCAAAAUGGCAUAGUCUAUCCCAAAGAGGCGAAAUUCAACGCGAAACUCGGCCGACGUGAUGCUAAACUUCUACCAGAAGAAGAUCCAGACACGUAUGAUCGUUUCGAAAAUCAACUGAUGUUCGUUCCACCGAAUUACUAUAAAACUCGUGACCUGAAGAAAAAUAAGACACUUUUGAUGUAUGGUGGAUACGAAGGAUGGUGGGGUAUUGCGGGACCAAAUAUGGCAACGUGGUUUAGCGAUCGAAAGUGCCCAGUGGAUACAUGCAGAUUCUCAUUAAAUAAAUCUGAUGCAGAAACGGCUGAUUUUCUUAUGUUUUCCUCACAACAUGAUGCUAUCAAUGUAAAACGUACACCAAACCAAAUUUACGCUUUCUAUCGUCUUGAAAGCCCUAUUCACUAUCCGGGUAGAUACCCAAAAUCUCUCAUUUACAAUUGGACAAUAACUUAUAGACAUGACAGUACGAUACCUAUUCCAUACUCAAAAUGGGCUUACUAUGACCCGAAAAUUACGCACAUGCCACAGACUAGAAAUUUUGCCCAAAAUAGAACGAAAAAAGUUGUAUGGAUGGUGUCGAACUGUGAGGCUCACAACGACCGUGAUGUCUACGUUCGUGAACUUCAAAAGUAUAUUCAAGUCGACGUGUAUGGUAAAUGUGGAACAUUCAAUUGUACGGAUACGGAUAAGUGUCUGCGUCAAUUUGCGAAAGACUAUAAAUUUUAUUUGGGAUUUGAAAAUUCGCAUUGCGCCGAUUAUGUGACGGAAAAAGUGUAUCGUAAUUCAUUGGGUCGAGGAGGUAUUAUUCCGGUGGUAUUGGGCGCACGCAAAGAAGACUAUGAACGACAACUUCCAUACAAGUCUUUUAUUUACGUUGAAGAUUUUGCGACACCCAAAGAUUUGGCGGAAUAUUUGCACAAAGUGGACAAAGAUGACGAUCUAUACAAUUCGUAUUUCCAGUGGGUGGGAACGGGUGAGAUACAUACCUUGUACCCAUCGUUGUUCACUUUUUUUUGGUGCCGCGUUUGUGCUAUGCUACACGACGACUACACCAUGUCGCAUCCACGUUGGUAUGAAGACAUCAACAAAUGGUGGUUCGAUCCAGAUACGCUGAGAAGAGGGUUUUGGCGAAAUACUAGAAGCUAAUUUAAAGGCUAUUCGAGCAAUUGAUCAAUUGCUACUUAUCUGAUACAUAAAGAUUAGACAUUUACUUAUAAUCAACAGAUUUACUCCUAACAUAUUUCUUCAGCUCAGUAUACAGAGAGCUAUAGCUGUCGUUGUCGAUUUACACUUGUGCCCAGAGCAAAAACAAUUUUCGCCUUUAUAUGUGCAAAACGGCACAACUGGAAUUUCACAAUCUUUUUGUAUAUUUGCUUUAUAAAAUAACGGUUUCUAUAAGCAAACACUAGUUCAAUUUAAAGUGAAAAAAACAUUAAACUAUCUUAUUAAAUGUGAUUUAGUGCAGAAUCUCAAAACUGUUACGAUUCCCGAAUAUGGUCCAUAUUAAAACAUCUGUAUUGACGUCUUUUUUUAUUUACACAUCGAUUUUGGGUUACGUAUAUUUACAUCGUUCGAUUGUUUGUUUCUGUUUCUGACGCCAACUGUGUUUCCACGAUAGAAAGGUGUACUUGGUUUUAAGUUCAAACAUUUUAUUGUGUCAAAAAUGUUAUUUUCACAUUUAUAAGUGAUUAGACAAUUUAGAAAGAAAAGAAUUAAAAAUAAAAGAAAAGUUCAGUGAAUCAACCACUUGCAAUUUAGAAGCCGGUCACACCAAGAGUUGCAGUAAUGACCGUACUGAAAUCAAACCACGCCAAAUUAGGUUGGUAUCAGCUGAGCAUAACGAAAGCCCAGGCAUCACCAUAUUACAAGCAGAAAAAGUUCAUAUUUUUACUCGUUUUGGUAUCAUUAGUUAGUCUGUUCAAUUUUUUGAAUCCAGAAAAAACAUCAACGACCGUAAGCAAUGUCUUUUUAUCGCGAGUAAAAGUGGCUCCUCCCAUUAAAUUUGGGCCAAAGCCAUAUUAUAUGCAAAAUGGCAUAGUCUAUCCCAAAGAGGCGAAAUUCAACGCGAAACUCGGCCGACGUGAUGCUAAACUUCUACCAGAAGAAGAUCCAGACACGUAUGAUCGUUUCGAAAAUCAACUGAUGUUCGUUCCACCGAAUUACUAUAAAACUCGUGACCUGAAGAAAAA